rnacentral:lncRNA from 1 species
CCUUUAAUCUGGGCUACACCUUCUGCUGGAGACAAUAUAAGGACAUUGGAAGAAGGGAGUCUAGCUCUUGCUCCUGCUCCUUCGCCUGCUUGCUACGUGAGACUGAGUAACUGCUAGAUCCUUGGACUUCCAUUCACAGCUGCGACUGAACAAUUGUUGGGAAUUGGGCUGCCGACUGUAAAUUGCUUAUAUUUAUGUCUUUCAAGAACCUGCUUCCAGGGGAAUUCAAAGUAGGAUAUUGGAGCAGUCAACUCAGUUGCCCAGGACUACAUGGCUGUGUGUGAGUUCCCGGAUGCAAGGUCAACGAGCAAGGAGAACUGUCGCAAACACGCCUGCUCAGACUCCAGGCCUGUGUGCGUUGUGGACUGCCGUGCUUUUGGUUUUUACUGUUAUAGAAACACAGCAGUUUAAGUACAGAAAACAAAGACACUUAAUAUUUUCCUACUGAUACUCCUUGGCAUUAAAUUAGUAUACGUUUGGA